rnacentral:lncRNA from 1 species
UGAAGCUUCCGUCGAGUGGCGAGGAAAGACGACAGUCGAGUGAGAUGAUUGAUGAAAGUCGGAGAGAAUGAGAGGUAUGAAAGAAAAAUGAGUUCGAGUGAGAGGUAAGAGAGAGGAAGGAUUUUGUGUGGUUAAGGAGAAAGAGAUAGGGAGAGGAUAAGGGUAUGAAAGAAAAGGAAGGUUGGGUCGAGUGGGGUGAAUCGAGUGAGAUUUUUUUUUNNNNNNNN